ensembl:lncRNA
GGGUAAUAAUGAGGUUGAGCUGUAGUAGCCACAAAAUCACAGAAAGUGCGCAGCGGUGACAUAUUCUGCUUCUCCGUGAAGAACCGCUAUUCUGUAGCACUUUAAUUUGAAACAAUGUCCCAGAGAACUAAAAGCAGAGAGCAGUCACAGUGAGUCCCUCUCCCCUGAGAAAAGGAGGCGCAGAGAAGGGCAGUGAUUUGUCAUUCGGCACCAGAUAUAGUGCAACCUUGGCAAAGUGCAGCAAGGGAGAAACACCACGAAUCAUCUGGAACUAAAGUUUAGGCUACUUCACUGACUCUAGGGACACGUCUUUCACUGGGAGGGGCUCGUUAUUGUGGAAGGACAAGUGGACAUAAGCAGAAAAAUUCAGCUAGAUGCAAUGUUAUGGAGAUCUGAUCCGCUCCUUUGGUGAGGUCAUUCAAGUAGCUGGCUCAAGCAUAGAGCAAACAAUGACAUCAGACUCAAACAAACGUCAAGCCUGAUAGACACUGUCGAAAGAUGUUUCCAUGGGAAUGGCUCCAUUUCAGGGCUGUACUGUCAUGUGCUGACACAUUUUCAGGGAAAUGAAUGAGGAUUGCUGCAUAUCUGGCAGUUCUAUUCCUGACACUAAGUAGACUGCCAACUUCGUCCCAUGGGAGUAAGGACGGGUUGCCAGGUUCGGGUCAAAGAAGACGACACUUCCUAUUAAUUCAUCCAUCAGGUCUGCCAGGAUCAUAAUGACUGGUGACAGCUUAAGACUACUGUCUGACGUCUUCAUUAGUCCCAUGUGUGCAGGAUCUUACCGCCUUGCAGUGACAAAGCGACCUGAACUCAUUAACUUUCAAGGAGUGCUAGCAACUUUCUGCGACAUUAGUGACAGUGACCAGUGGCAACAGGAUGUGGGCGUGUCCAGUGGACACACUGAAGUUAAGAAAAGUUUGACAGUAUGCAAAUGAGGAGCGAAGCAGCGACUACCAAUGGGAAUGAAGAUAACAGAUUCAAAAUGGUAAGUGACAAGUACUAUAUUUAAUUGGAAAAUAAAUGUUUCUCUUGCACACUAUUUUGUUGUUUC